ensembl:lncRNA
GGACAGACUCCCUGUCUAACCAAGGAGCACACAGAGACCAUGAGCUCAGACUCUGACGGAGCAUUCGAGACGCCAGAGUCGACCACCCCUGUCAAGUCCCCCACGGAGACAGACCCUCAUAUCCAGCUGCUGACCUCUGAAGACACCGGUCUUGGCUGUGACUCUGAGGCAGACGGUGAACCCGGGUCAGAGGCUAAAGGUCACCAUGGUAGCUCCCUGUCCAUAGUCUUUGACGAGGACAAGCCCAUAGCUGCUAGCGGAGCCUAUAACCUAGACCAGCUCAUAGCUGCUGCUGCUGCUGCUGCUGAGGCCCAGAGCCGAUCAACUCUAACCCGCUCUCUGAGCCUCCAGGCUGGGGAGCUAGAUGGCUCCGGCCCCCUAGACGGCGGAGGAUCCUCCAUCUCAAUCGGAGACUCCCGUCCCUUAGCUGAGGCCUUUAGUGUUGACAGUGGUACUGAGAGUGCUCCAGGGACUCUGCGCAGACCCUCCAAGAAGGGGCCUCUCCGCCCAGGCGGCUCCCUGAAAAAGAAGCCUCUCCCCAGGCAGAGCUCUAACCUAGAGAGCCCCCAACUGCCGUCCUCCGGAACCACACCGGAGCUGGAGAAGAGUGCCGAGCCCACCAGAGCAGCCAGACCCCUAUUGGUCUCUGAGGAUCUGGAAGCAGGAGGAGCCACAGUAGACUCCGCCUCGCUCACUGAAGAGACCAAUCACACUAGCCCAGAGACAGAUAAUCAACUAAUCCUGGCCCCUACUUCUAUUCUGACUCCGACCCCAGCUAUCUCUAUACCCAACCGGCAGGAGGACACCCCCAUCUCUGUGCCGGAGGCCCCCCCAGGCAGCGAAGGCUCUCCCCUGAGUGGGACCUACAAAUGGGACCCAGACAACUUUGAAGACAUCGC